GUACUGGGUUCAGCAGCACCUACACUAAAAUUAGAACAAGAAUGAGGAGAGCAUGGUCCCUGCUCAAGAAUGAAAUGGGAAUUCAUGAAGACUUCUAUAAUUUU
rnacentral:snRNA from 1 species